rnacentral:rRNA from 1 species
GAUGAACGCUAGCUACAGGCUUAACACAUGCAAGUCGAGGGGUAACGAGAGGAAAGCUUGCUUUCCUUGUCGACGACCGGCGCACGGGUGAGUAACGCGUAUCCAACCUGCCCCCAACUAGGGAAUAACCUUGCGAAAGUAAGACUAAUACCCUAUAAUUUCCUCAGAUGUCAUCUGACGAGGAAUAAAGAUUUAUCGGUUGUGGAUGGGGAUGCGUCUGAUUAGGGUGUUGGCGGGGUAACGGCCCACCAAGGCAACGAUCAGUAGGGGUUCUGGAAGGAAGGUAGCGCACAUUGGAACUGAGACACGGUCCAUACUGCUACGGGAGGCAGCAGUGAGGAAUAUUGGUCAAUGGGCGGAAGCCUGAACCAGCCAAGUAGCGUGCAGGAUGGCGGCCCUAUGGGUUGUAAACUGCUUUUAUACAGGAAUAAAGUUAGCCACGUGUGGUUAUUUGUAGGUACUGUAUGAAUAAGGACCGGCUAAUUCCGUGCCAGCCGCCGCGGUAA